GCCGAAGUGGCGGAACUGGCAGACGCGCUACGUUCAGGGCGUAGUGAGCACAAGCUCAUGUGGGUGCGAAUCCCACCUUCGGCA
rnacentral:tRNA from 1 species